UACGGAGGGAGCUAGCGUUGUUCGGAAUUAUUGGGCGUAAAGGGCUCGUAGGCGGUUUGUCGCGUCGGGAGUGAAAACGCCGUGCUUAACACGGCGCUUGCUUUCGAUACGGGCAGACUAGAGGUAUGUAGGGGAGAACGGAAUUCCUGGUGUAGCGGUGAAAUGCGCAGAUAUCAGGAGGAACACCGGUGGCGAAGGCGGUUCUCUGGGCAUUACCUGACGCUGAGGAGCGAAAGUGUGGGGAGCGAACAGG
rnacentral:rRNA from 1 species